UGACCGUUUUAGUUUGUUAAAGAAUCUUCCAUCCGCUGUUAAGACAGGGGAAUACACUCCUCAUCUGCUGUUGCAACGGAAAAGAUAUUAGUGUAUGCGUUUGUCUGGCUGUUUUUACACCAUUUUUUUAUGAAGCAGGCAAAUGAAAAGGGGAUCUCUAUUGGAGAGUGUAUGUAUGAUGACGCCUACCUGACACUACA